ACGCUCGACACCUACGGGAGGCAGCAGUGGGGAAUAUUGCACAAUGGGGGAAACCCUGAUGCAGCGACGCCGCGUGAAGGAAGAAGUAUCUCGGUAUGUAAACUUCUAUCAGCAGGGAAGAAAAUGACGGUACCUGACUAAGAAGCCCCGGCUAACUACGUGCCAACAGCCGCGGUAAUCUGAGCGGGCUGGCAAGGC
rnacentral:rRNA from 1 species